UCCGGGGGGGGCAAGCGUUAUUCGGAAUUAUUGGGCGUAAAGGGCGUGUAGGCGGUUUUGUAAGUUAGAUGUGAAAGCUCUUGGCUUAACCCGGGGAGUGCGUUUGAUACUAUUUGACUUGAGUGUGGGAGAGGGAAGUGGAAUUCCUGGUGUAGCGGUGAAAUUCGUAGAUAUCAGGAGGAACACCGGUGGCGAAAGCGGCUUUCUGGGCCAUUCCUGACGCUGAGACGCGAAGGCGUGGGGAGCAAACAGG
rnacentral:rRNA from 1 species